GCGGGUGUAGCUCAGUGGUAGAGCACAACCUUGCCAAGGUUGGGGUCGCGGGUUCGAAUCCCGUCGCCCGCU
rnacentral:tRNA from 1 species